rnacentral:lncRNA from 1 species
CUCUGUCUCUCCUUGCACGACGUUGAGCCCUUGUGCGACGCUGCAUCUCAUCUCUGUCACGCUGCUUCUCCGACUCACUUCGUUUCCACUUCUCCAUCGUUGCUGUCACGCCGAGCCCUUCGUUUUGCUGUCACCACUGCCAGCCGCUGCUCAGAUCCGAGGAGUUCAGUGAAGUCACAGUGAGUCUCAACUCACACUCCCACUCACACUCACCGAGUCGCAGUGAGCGAGCGACCAAGUGGGACUGGAAAUUUAAGCCCUUCUCCGUCUUCUUCUUCUCUUCUUCUUUUAUUCCCCACGCUUUCUUGUCUCUUUUAAGAUCGACCUUGACCUCCAUUAAUUCCUCUCCCUCCUCAGACCAAAACCACGAAAAUUGCGUUACCUGCGCCCCUCUCUCUCUCUCUCUCUCUCUCUCUCUCUCUCUCUC